UACGUAGGGUGCGAGCGUUAAUCGGAAUUACUGGGCGUAAAGCGUGCGCAGGCGGUUCGUUGUGUCGGCGGUGAAAGCCCCGGGCUCAACCUGGGAAUGGCCGUUGAAACUGGCGAACUGGAGUGUGGCAGAGGGGGGUGGAAUUCCGCGUGUAGCAGGUGAAAUGCGUAGAGAUGUGGAGGAACACCAGUGGCGAAGGCGACUCUUUGGCCUAUAACUGACGCUGAGGCGCGAAAGCGUGGGGAGCAAACAGG
rnacentral:rRNA from 1 species